ensembl:lncRNA
GUGUUGACGUGUGUGUCAAUGUCAGUGUUGACGUGUGCGUUACAGUGAGUGUGUGUGUUAACGUGUCUGUUAUCGUGUGUGUUGAGGUGAGUGUGUGUGUUAAGCUGUGUGUUGUGGUGAGUGUGUGUGUUAAGAUGUGUGUUGAGGUGAGUGUGUGUUAAGGCGUGUGUUGAGGCGUGUGUUGAGGCGUGUGUUGAGGCGUGUGUUGAGGCGUGUGUUGAGGUGUGUGUUGAGGCGUGUGUUGAGGUGUGUGUUGAGGUGUGUGUUGAGG